AGUGAACGCUGGCGGUAGGCCUAACACAUGCAAGUCGAACGGCAGCACAGUAAGAGCUUGCUCUUACGGGUGGUGAGUGGCGGACGGGUGAGGAAUACAUCGGAAUCUACUUUUUCGUGGGGGAUAACGUAGGGAAACUUACGCUAAUACCGCAUACGACCUACGGGUGAAAGCAGGGGAUCUUCGGACCUUGCGCGAUUGAAUGAGCCGAUGUCGGAUUAGCUAGUUGGCGGGGUAAAGGCCCACCAAGGUGACGAUCCGUAGCUGGUCUGAGAGGAUGAUCAGCCACACUGGAACUGAGACACGGUCCAGACUCCUACGGGAGGCAGCAGUGGGGAAUAUUGGACAAUGGGCGCAAGCCUGAUCCAGCCAUACCGCGUGGGUGAAGAAGGCCUUCGGGUUGUAAAGCCCUUUUGUUGGGAAAGAAAAGCAGCAGGUUAAUACCCCGCUGUUCUGACGGUACCCAAAGAAUAAGCACCGGCUAACUUCGUG
rnacentral:rRNA from 1 species